rnacentral:rRNA from 1 species
AGAGUUUGAUCCUGGCUCAGGACGAACGCUGGCGGCGCGCCUAACACAUGCAAGUCGAACGAGCGAGAGAGAGCUUGCUUUCUCGAGCGAGUGGCGAACGGGUGAGUAACGCGUGAGGAACCUGCCUCAAAGAGGGGGACAACAGUUGGAAACGACUGCUAAUACCGCAUAAGCCCACGACCCGGCAUCGGGUUGAGGGAAAAGGAGCAAUCCGCUUUGAGAUGGCCUCGCGUCCGAUUAGCUAGUUGGUGAGGUAACGGCCCACCAAGGCGACGAUCGGUAGCCGGACUGAGAGGUUGAACGGCCACAUUGGGACUGAGACACGGCCCAGACUCCUACGGGAGGCAGCAGUGGGGAAUAUUGCACAAUGGGGGAAACCCUGAUGCAGCGACGCCGCGUGGAGGAAGAAGGUCUUCUGAUUGUAAACUCCUGUUGUUGAGGAAGAUAAUGACGGUACUCAACAAGGAAGUGACGGCUAACUACGUGCCAGCAGCCGCGGUAAAACGUAGGUCACAAGCGUUGUCCGGAAUUACUGGGUGUAAAGGGAGCGCAGGCGGGAAGACAAGUUGGAAGUGAAAUCCAUGGGCUCAACCCAUGAACUGCUUUCAAAACUGUUUUUCUUGAGUAGUGCAGAGGUAGGCGGAAUUCCCGGUGUAGCGGUGGAAUGCGUAGAUAUCGGGAGGAACACCAGUGGCGAAGGCGGCCUACUGGGCACCAACUGACGCUGAGCUCGAAAGUGUGGGUAGCAAACAGGAUUAGAUACCCUGGUAGUCCACACCGUAAACGAUGAUUACUAGUGUUGGAGGAUUGACCCCUUCAGUGCCGCAGUUAACACAUAAGUAAUCCACCUGGGGAGUACGACCGCAAGGUUGAAACUCAAAGGAAUUGACGGGGGCCCGCACAAGCAGUGGAGUAUGUGGUUUAAUUCGACGCAACGCGAAGAACCUUACCAAGUCUUGACAUCCUGCGACGAUGCUGGAAACAGUAUUUUCCUUCGGGACGCAGAGACAGGUGGUGCAUGGUUGUCGUCAGCUCGUGUCGUGAGAUGUUGGGUUAAGUCCCGCAACGAGCGCAACCCUUAUGGUCAGUUACUACGCAAGAGGACUCUGGCCAGACUGCCGUUGACAAAACGGAGGAAGGUGGGGAUGACGUCAAAUCAUCAUGCCCUUUAUGACUUGGGCUACACACGUACUACAAUGGCGUUAAACAAAGAGAAGCAAGACCGCGAGGUGGAGCAAAACUCAGAAACAACGUCCCAGUUCGGACUGCAGGCUGCAACUCGCCUGCACGAAGUCGGAAUUGCUAGUAAUCGUGGAUCAGCAUGCCACGGUGAAUACGUUCCCGGGCCUUGCACACACCGCCCGUC